rnacentral:rRNA from 1 species
AUUGAACGCUGGCGGCAUGCCUUACACAUGCAAGUCGAACGGCAGCGGGGGAGAAGCUUGCUUUUCCUGCCGGCGAGUGGCGAACGGGUGAGUAAUACAUCGGAGCGUGCCCUGUAGUGGGGGAUAACUAGUCGAAAGAUUAGCUAAUACCGCAUACGACCUGAGGGUGAAAGUGGGGGACCGCAAGGCCUCAUGCUAUAGGAGCGGCCGAUGUCUGAUUAGCUAGUUGGUGGGGUAAAGGCCUACCAAGGCGACGAUCAGUAGCUGGUCUGAGAGGACGAUCGGCCACACUGGGACUGAGACACGGCCCAGACUCCUACGGGAGGCAGCAGUGGGGAAUUUUGGACAAUGGGCGAAAGCCUGAUCCAGCAAUGCCGCGUGUGUGAAGAAGGCCUUCGGGUUGUAAAGCACUUUUGUCCGGAAAGAAAUGGCUCUGGUUAAUACCUGGGGUCGAUGACGGUACCGGAAGAAUAAGGACCGGCUAACUACGUGCCAGCCGCCGCCGUAA